UCCGUAAAGUUAGUUUCACUCCACAUAGCAGCUGCUCUAUUUCUUCCCUUUUCACUUUCUCUUUCCCACCAUUUGCCUGAAGCUCCUCAUCCCCUUCCUUGUGCCUCCUCAGAAUUCUACCAGUGCACCUCAUUCAGACAUUCAUCAAGAAAAAGGCCAGCUGAAGGCAGACAGCCAACAAAACUCAGUCGUUAGCCACAGCCCUGGCUGUCCUCGUCCAUCAAGCCUGCCCAUUGUGAGCUUCCAUUCAUCUUACCUGUCUGUUAUGGAAGAGUGAAGUGGAAAAGGCAUGGAGGACUCAGAAGACCUGCUACCGAGAAGAGCCCCAUUGCAAUCAGAAGAUUAUUUAUGGAAAAAAGCAAAAUGGAGAUAUUUAAAAGACGGAGAGAGACAGCAGAAAGCUGCUUAAGAAAUUGCUUUGAGUCCACAGGAGGGAAGCACAAAGGAGAUGGGAUAAUAGUGUUAUACACUACAUGAUAUCACAGAGCUGGCAGAGUUAAUGAGUAUCUUGGACAAUUGCACCAAAUGCAAUGGAUUGGGAUCACUAAAUCAAGACGUAAUUUGAUAGAAAUAAAGUGGUCCUAGGAAAACUAACACAGCAGGCUUAUGCUGAUGGAGCAGAUGCAAGCCUGUGAGCCAGCACGGAUUUCCCAGGAACGUUGCUGUUCGCUAGGCCACGUGCUGGCCUCACAGCUGGUGAUGAGAAGGCGAAGACAGAGUCAGCUUAACCAAGGCACUGUGGGCUCUGUGAAAGCCUUUGGCUUCAUCUUAUGCACCAGAACAGGCCACUGAAGGGCUGUU
rnacentral:lncRNA from 1 species